AGUGGAAGUAAUGGAGGAGAAACUCCUUCAAGAUCUGACUCGUGAGACGUGCUUACUGAUGUCUGCUAUAGCUUCACCAGGACUAAAUAUCAGGCUUCCAUCUUUAGAACAAUCUGGGCAUGUCAGCCGGGGUGAUACAUCUUCUCUGAAGGACCUGGAUGCAUUUGUAUCAAACUCUAUGGUUGGGUGCGUCAUGUAUGAGACUAGACUUUUCCGUUUAUUAAUGGAAGCAGUUCUUCCUUUCCAUAAUUUUUCCCCCUCAAAUCCUGCUGUCUAAAAUUUAAUUCAUUUACAGUUUCCUUCUGAAGCACAAAGGCCUGGCUUUUCCAGCAUUACAGAUUUGUAUAGAAGCUUUCACAUGGACAGAUAGUGAAGCAGUGACAAAAGUUUCUUCCUUCUGUGCUCCCGUUAUUCUUUUAGCUAUAGCAACAAAUAAUGCUGAACUUCGAGAAUUUGUUUCAAAAGAUCUGUU
rnacentral:misc_RNA from 1 species